rnacentral:rRNA from 1 species
GCGCGAAAACUUUACAAUGCUGGCAACAGCGAUAAGGGAACCUCGAGUGCCAGGUUACAAAUCUGGCUGUCGAGAUGCCUAAAAAGCAUUUCAUAGCAAGGGCCGGGCAAGACCGGUGCCAGCCGCCGCGGUAACACCGGUGGCUCGAGUGGUAACCGUUAUUAUUGGGUCUAAAGGGUCUGUAGCCGGCCGGAUAAGUCUCUUGAGAAAUCUGGCAGCUUAACUGUCAGGCUUUCAGGAGAUACUGUCUGGCUCGAGGCCGGGAGAGGUGAGAGGUACUUCAGGGGUAGUGGUGAAAUCUUGUAAUCCUUGAAGGACCACCAGUGGCGAAGGCGUCUCACCAGAACGGACCUGACGGCAAGGGACGAAAGCUAGGGGCACGAACC